UACGUAGGGUGCAAGCGUUAAUCGAAAUUACUGGGCGUAAAGCGUGCGCAGGCGGUUUUCCAAGACAGAUGUGAAAUCCCCGGGCUUAACCUGGGAAUGGCAUUUGUGACUGGAAGGCUAGAGUGUGUCAGAGGGGGGUAGAAUUCCACGUGUAGCAGUGAAAUGCGUAGAGAUGUGGAGGAAUACCGAUGGCGAAGGCAGCCCCCUGGGAUAACACUGACGCUCAUGCACGAAAGCGUGGGGAGCAAACAGG
rnacentral:rRNA from 1 species